AACAAAGUAACAUAGUAGAAAUCAAUAAAAACGUAGAACCAUACAAAUUUACUACCCUCAACCCAACAAGCUCUUAAAAUAAACAUGCGAACAUAACAAAGGGCAAAGUAAGGCAUAAAAGGGAACACAAAAAUAUAAUGUAGAACUUACCCAUCUCUUCCAACCUGAUUCCCCUUAAGAAACUCAAUUGAAGAUUGUCCUCAUUGCAUCCAUUGAAAACAAUCUAGAAUCCAUUUGUAGCAGCAAAAAAAAAAAAAACAACCCACCCAUUCUUAACAGCAACCAAAUGGUCAUUGACAAAAUUAUCAAACAACAAUCAAAUUCCAAUCAAACGAAGAACCCAUAGAUCAAACAAACAUAGAGCCUCAACAUAACCC
rnacentral:lncRNA from 1 species